GCCGCUGUGGUGGAAUCGGCAGACACAAGGGACUUAAAAUCCCUCGGAGUAAAAUCCGUACCGGUUCAAGUCCGGUCAGCGGCACCA
rnacentral:tRNA from 1 species